UCUAUUUUGUGUCAUUAGGCAGCUUCAAUUACUGAAAAGAUUUCAUUUGUGUACAUACCUUCCCCUGGUAAUCUUUAAAACUCAUGCAUCUCUUUCUACUAUUAAGAGUACAUGAACAUGGAAACACUGGAGCACCGGUUGCAAACUUCAUUGAGAUCUGAAAGUUAGUCUCAUCAAACUGGCAACCUGCUGAGGAUAGUGAUGGCGACUAUUACAGGGAUUCAAGUAGUGAUGGAAGCAAUGAUUCUCAGCUUGAAGGAGGGUUCAAAUAUACAAGGGAGCGGUCGAACUAUCAUCAUCCUGCAAGUGAGGUUGCGUGUAGAAUGGACACACUGUCUUUGCGAGAGAAGCAUGUUACUAUCCAAGAAGGCUUUGUGAGAGAAGCAUGUUGCUAUCCAAGAAGGCUUUUCGAUCUGGUGCAGCUUGUGAAACGAUGUCUAGAUUUUGUUCAACAACAAGGCUUGAAGAAUAUUGCUGGAUUGGUAAGCAUUUUCUAGCAUUGGGAAUAGAGAAUCCUGAUGUCUAUUUCUCUGAAAUUAAGGGUAUUUUUCUCAUCAUUUAUGCUUCUUUAGAAUUGAUUCUUAGUUACCAUUGUAUGUAUUUCAUUUUUAACCACCUAAUCAAUGUCCACCAAUUCAUUGGUCAGAUAAUCAAAAUAAUCUCUUUUUUUUUUUCUAGUUAAUGAUACAUCUGAACUGGAAUAUUUUAUUUGGAUAGUUUAAUUUGAAUUUCUUGUAUGCCAGGUAUUCAAUUUUUAAGAAAUUUGAAAGUGCUUGCAUACCAUCCAUCACACUCUGUCAGAGUAUUGAAGUUCUUCUCUCAUACAAUUUUUACGUAGCUAAAAAAAGACUCAAUGAUGCAGGUCACAGGCAGUCCAUGCAACAAAGACUUUUGGUCUAUGUUGGGAUUCUUGAAGUAAUCAUUGAUUUGCUUUGACCGAGGUGACCUUCUAGAAAAUCUCUCUAAGCUUUGUUUGAGGUGACCUUUUCUAACUCCACUAAAAUUCCACCAACAUCUGUAACAUGUACUUCUCGUUAGUGUAUACAUGUUCAUUUCUUUGAUACAAAUAGUCCAAUGUACCUGAGGUGGCCCACCAGGCCAACAAUACCAAUCACUAUAUGUGUUUUCCAUGUGAACUGAAGGGAGUGAGCUGCAGAGAAGAGUGUCAUACUAAUGUUCCUCUUAAACUAAAGAUCAAUUCAUUAUGGAGCAGAGAAUUUUGCGAUGAGAGAUAGGCCUAUGAAUCCAUUCAGGCAGACAGGUGUGUGUUAUAUCAGAGCCGCUCAUCAAGACAUCUCACAAUUUAAAUGGCAUGUCUUAGAAAUCAGUUCGUAUGUAUACAAGAUAAAUGCAUUGUUAAUAGGAUCAAUGGCCCACAUUAAACACACACAUGUAGCCUACCUGAUGGUCAGCUUGGCCCGAUCCUUGGUAGACACGAAUAUUCCUAGUGGGGAUGGCCUGACAUCUUCACACUGGAGCUAGCUGUCUCGUGUCACAUCUUAUUUCCAUGGAAUUUUUUGUGGUAACACAAGGAAAUUUUGGGAACCAAACCUGGCAUCCCGCUAAUAAUUCUACUCCAAGGUGAACACCAUUUUCUAGCGAUUACGUUCCUACCUUUUCAACAUGGAAUUUAAUUCUGUAUUCACCAAAGCUGUUUGUAGGCAUUCUCAUCUUGCGUAAAGUCAUCUUGGGGAAGAUGCUGUAAAUGUAGGCAGUGUCGUUAUUGGUUGUACAUAGUUAUGUCUUUCAAUGCCAUUUUUUUUUUUCUGGGCUAACAAAACAUCAGUUGUUAUGACGCAGGAACCCGGAGUAGCUGAAUCUGAGUUUGCUAUGAUUGAUAUGGGAACACUCAUCAAGAAAUUUCUUACUCUUCGCAAUCCGGGUCCUCUAAUUGUACCUAAAGGAGCUCUUGCAGAAUCGCCUCCCAAACCAAUUACCUUGCCUCCAUGGUUGUGUGAAGAGGAUAUUGAUUAUUAUGUCAGUAAAUUCAGCAAGUCAGGCUUUACUGGAGGACUGAACUACUACCGAAAUAUAGAUCCAUAUGUUUUCUACCAACUUCUUUUUAAUUGUUAUAAGUUGCUGAUUUGAAAUAUGUCUCUUAUUAGAAUGACUACUUAUCUAUGUUUUCCAUGUGAAUAAAAUCCCUUUUUUUUUUCCCCCUGUUUUGAUGCAAGCAGUUCUGACCCCAGAGUUCAAAAACCCGAAAACUUGACUCGACUAAAUGUCCCAUCGGGUCAGGUUGACUCGAUGUCUUAAGAUGACUCGACUCAAUAUUUUAAUAUAUAAAUUAAAAGUGUUUGGAGUUGUUAUAAAUACUUGAAAACAUUUGACAGGGAUAAAGACUUUUCUUUUAUUUUGUUUGGUUUUCGUUACUGAAUUUGAUUCAUGGUGAAUGGACUUGUAAACUAGAGAAACAUGGAUAGCAUAUUCUGGUAGACUGGUUGUGAGUUGCAGAAAAUAGGUUUGCAGAGGCCAAGGAUCAUAUAAUUUCUCAAUUUUCCAAUGCAUUUAGGGGUCAUUUGGAUGCCUGGAAGUUUUAUUAGUUGUCAAGGGUUUAGAGGCAACCCACUCAAAGGUGGUGUUUGGACGGAAAAUUUCACCUGUAAGCGAGUUACAAGUUGCAAGUCACUCACAACUUUUUAGUGCAUUUGAAAUCCUAAGCAAAAGAAGUGAUUUCACUUACUUGUAUGCAACUUAAGUGAUUUCACUUGUAUGCAACUUACAAUGGCCAUGGGAUGGAGGAGUUCGUCCCUCAAAGGACACCGGCUUAUAUCAGUCAACAUGAUCUUGAUAUUGGGGAAAUGACGGUGAGAGAGACCAAGCCUUCUUGCUUCU